rnacentral:lncRNA from 1 species
UUCCGACAAUUAUUCGCACAUUGAGCCUUUGACAUAUACGGAUGUGAACUCCAUGCCUCCAAAUACAAACGGUGAAGAACUGCAGUCUGCCAAAAACCCAAGAGGAGAAUUUGAAGGCUUGGUACCGGUGUCUACGCCACCAUCACAAUCGUAUUUGAAAAUAACAGUGUCGAAUCCACAAAAAGAAGUAGAAUCAUCCACUUCAAUCGUUCCGGGAAGUAAUACUUAUGUCAUGUAUCUAAUUACGACAAAAACGAACAUGUCAGAGUUUGGUGGACUGCAGUUUACGGUCCGACGGCGGUUCAAGGACGUGGUGACAUUGUCGGAUCGAGUAAUGGAGGCAUACCGAGGUUUUUUAUACCUCCAAGGCCUGAUAAGAGUGUGGUUGAGAGUCAAGUAAUGCAAAAGCAAGAGUUUGUUGAACAAAGAAGAUUUGCAUUAGAGAAAUACUUGCAGAGAUUGGUUGAGCAUCCUGUGAUUAGGCAAAGUGGUGAGUUGAGAGCGUUCUUACAGGUUCAGGGGAAGCUUCCCUUGCUACCGAAUUCUCCUGUAACCUUAAGAAUGCUUGAUGGGGCAACAAAAUCGUCAAAACAGUUGCUUGGGGAUAAUUUAGGUGGUGGUAGUGUUAGGAUUCAGCCUCAGGAUGUUGUGCGACCUGCAAAAAGUAAGUGGGAUUUUCUAAGGAUUGUGAAGGAGAUGAACCAAUCUGUGAACAAUAAUUAGGGAGGAUCAAAGCCACCCGUAAACGAGGAUGAUACUGAGUUUCUUCAAAAUAAAGAGAGACUCCUAAAUCUUGAGAAGAAACUUUCCAGUGCUUCCAAGCAGGUAUGUCUGAUAAUACUAACAACCCUUUCUUUCUUCUAAGCAGGUAUGUCUGAGAAGCAACAUCGUGGGAUAAGGUUGCAAAAAUGGUGGGCGGAGAAACCAUAUUUUUUUAGAAAUAAGGUUGCAAAAACGGUCCUCUAGGUGGAAAGACAAAAAUACCCUUGUCUUUAUUGCAAGUAAUAGAACAUAUGAAUGGAAGUUUAUGAAUGGAAGUUAGUGUGAGGAACCAAAAACAAUAAAAAAAAUCUAAUUUUGAACCAUGGUACACCAAACCAAAAAUGCAUAAAUUUGCCAACCAGAGGGACUAUUUUUACAAUUUUGUCUUGUUUUUAUUUAUAAAAAAUAGACUAAACUGCGGGGCAUGUGGUUAGCAC